rnacentral:rRNA from 1 species
CCGGCGAUGUCCGAAUGGGGAAACCCAGUGCAAUUCGUUGCACUAUCGUUAACUGAAUACAUAGGUUAACGAGGCGAACCGGGGGAACUGAAACAUCUAAGUACCCCGAGGAAAAGAAAUCAACCGAGAUUCCCCCAGUAGCGGCGAGCGAACGGGGAGCAGCCCAGAGUCUGAAUCAGCUUGUGUGUUAGUGGAACGGUCUGGAAAGUCCGACGGUACAGGGUGAUAGUCCCGUACACCAAAAUGCACAGGUUGUGAACUCGAAGAGUAGGGCGGGACACGUGGUAUCCUGUCUGAAUAUGGGGGGACCAUCCUCCAAGGCUAAAUACUCCUGACUGACCGAUAGUGAACCAGUACCGUGAGGGAAAGGCGAAAAGAACCCCGGCGAGGGGAGUGAAAAAGAACCUGAAACCGUGUACGUACAAGCAGUGGGAGCACCUUCGGGUGUGACUGCGUACCUUUUGUAUAAUGGGUCAGCGACUUAUAUUCUGUAGCAAGGUUAACCGUAUAGGGGAGCCGCAGGGAAACCGAGUCUUAACUGGGCGUUAAGUUGCAGGGUAUAGACCCGAAACCCGGUGAUCUAGCCAUGGGCAGGUUGAAGGUUGGGUAACACUAACUGGAGGACCGAACCGACUAAUGUUGAAAAAUUAGCGGAUGACUUGUGGCUGGGGGUGAAAGGCCAAUCAAACCGGGAGAUAGCUGGUUCUCCCCGAAAGCUAUUUAGGUAGCGCCUCGUGAACUCAUCUUCGGGGGUAGAGCACUGUUUCGGCUAGGGGGUCAUCCCGACUUACCAACCCGAUGCAAACUACGAAUACCGAAGAAUGUUAUCACGGGAGACACACGGCGGGUGCUAACGUCCGUCGUGAAGAGGGAAACAACCCAGACCGCCAGCUAAGGUCCCAAAGUCAUGGUUAAGUGGGAAACGAUGUGGGAAGGCACAGACAGCCAGGAUGUUGGCUUAGAAGCAGCCAUCAUUUAAAGAAAGCGUAAUAGCUCACUGGUCGAGUCGGCCUGCGCGGAAGAUGUAACGGGGCUAAACCAUGCACCGAAGCUGCGGCAGCGACACUAUGUGUUGUUGGGUAGGGGAGCGUUCUGUAAGCCUGCGAAGGUGACCUGUGAGGGUUGCUGGAGGUAUCAGAAGUGCGAAUGCUGACAUAAGUAACGAUAAAGCGGGUGAAAAGCCCGCUCGCCGGAAGACCAAGGGUUCCUGUCCAACGUUAAUCGGGGCAGGGUGAGUCGACCCCUAAGGCGAGGCCGAAAGGCGUAGUCGAUGGGAAACAGGUUAAUAUUCCUGUACUUGGUGUUACUGCGAAGGGGGGACGGAGAAGGCUAUGUUAGCCGGGCGACGGUUGUCCCGGUUUAAGCAUGUAGGCUGGUUAUCCAGGCAAAUCCGGAUAAUCAAGGCUGAGGUGUGAUGACGAGGCACUACGGUGCUGAAGUAACAAAUGCCCUGCUUCCAGGAAAAGCCUCUAAGCAUCAGGUAACAUCAAAUCGUACCCCAAACCGACACAGGUGGUCAGGUAGAGAAUACCAAGGCGCUUGAGAGAACUCGGGUGAAGGAACUAGGCAAAAUGGUGCCGUAACUUCGGGAGAAGGCACGCUGGUGUGUAGGUGAAGUCCCUGCGGAUGGAGCUGAGACCAGUCGAAGAUACCAGCUGGCUGCAACUGUUUAUUAAAAACACAGCACUGUGCAAACACGAAAGUGGACGUAUACGGUGUGACGCCUGCCCGGUGCCGGAAGGUUAAUUGAUGGGGUUAUCCGUAAGGAGAAGCUCUUGAUCGAAGCCCCGGUAAACGGCGGCCGUAACUAUAACGGUCCUAAGGUAGCGAAAUUCCUUGUCGGGUAAGUUCCGACCUGCACGAAUGGCGUAAUGAUGGCCAGGCUGUCUCCACCCGAGACUCAGUGAAAUUGAACUCGCUGUGAAGAUGCAGUGUACCCGCGGCAAGACGGAAAGACCCCGUGAACCUUUACUAUAGCUUGACACUGAACAUUGAGCCUUGAUGUGUAGGAUAGGUGGGAGGCUUUGAAGCGUGGACGCCAGUCUGCGUGGAGCCAACCUUGAAAUACCACCCUUUAAUGUUUGAUGUUCUAACGUUGGCCCCUGACCGGGGUUGCGGACAGUGUCUGGUGGGUAGUUUGACUGGGGCGGUCUCCUCCCAAAGCGUAACGGAGGAGCACGAAGGUUAGCUAAUCCUGGUCGGACAUCAGGAGGUUAGUGCAAUGGCAUAAGCUAGCUUGACUGCGAGCGUGACGGCGCGAGCAGGUGCGAAAGCAGGUCAUAGUGAUCCGGUGGUUCUGAAUGGAAGGGCCAUCGCUCAACGGAUAAAAGGUACUCCGGGGAUAACAGGCUGAUACCGCCCAAGAGUUCAUAUCGACGGCGGUGUUUGGCACCUCGAUGUCGGCUCAUCACAUCCUGGGGCUGAAGUAGGUCCCAAGGGUAUGGCUGUUCGCCAUUUAAAGUGGUACGCGAGCUGGGUUUAGAACGUCGUGAGACAGUUCGGUCCCUAUCUGCCGUGGGCGCUGGAGAAUUGAGGGGGGCUGCUCCUAGUACGAGAGGACCGGAGUGGACGCAUCACUGGUGUUCGGGUUGUCAUGCCAAUGGCACUGCCCGGUAGCUAAAUGCGGAAGAGAUAAGUGCUGAAAGCAUCUAAGCACGAAACUUGCCCCGAGAUGAGUUCUCCCUGAGACUUUAAGUCUCCUGAAGGAACGUUAAAGACGAUGACGUUGAUAGGCCGGGUGUGUAAGCGCAGCGAUGCGUUGAGCUAACCGGUACUAAUGAACCGUGAGGCUUAACCUU